GAAUAGCCCCGAUAGCAGCGGCAUCCUUUUUAUCUUGUUUUUUUUUGAACAAGAUAAAAAGAUAGAGCGGAUAGCGGGACUGGUG
rnacentral:sRNA from 1 species